rnacentral:sRNA from 1 species
AGUGGUCUCUUUUUCUAAAGUUGUAUUCGGAAUUUCGGAUAAUUCGAUCAGGUUGAUCACUUGAUUUAAAUGGUCUUGAUUAGGGCUGGGCAAAAUAUUUGUUCGAUCCGCUUCGAUUCGUUAUUCGAUUUGAUUUGAUUCGAAAAAUCCGAAUAUCCGUAAGAUUUUGGACCAAAGCAAAUAGGAAAAUGUAAUAUUCGUAAAAACUGAAUCAAAUAGCAAAUAUUGUU